rnacentral:rRNA from 1 species
AGAGACAGCAGUAGCCGCGGUAACACGGAGGGAGCUAGCGUUGUUCGGAAUUACUGGGCGUAAAGCGCGCGUAGGCGGUUACUCAAGUCAGAGGUGAAAGCCCGGGGCUCAACCCCGGAACUGCCUUUGAAACUAGGUGACUAGAAUCUUGGAGGGGUCAGUGGAAUUCCGAGUGUAGAGGUGAAAUCCGUAGAUAUUCGGAAGAACACCAGUGGCGAAGGCGACUGACUGGACAAGUAUUGACGCUGAGGUGCGAAAGCGUGGGGAGCAAACAGGAUUAGAUACCCCAGUAGUCCCUGUCUCUUAUAC